rnacentral:rRNA from 1 species
GACGAACGCUUGCGGCAGGCUUAACACAUGCAAGUCGAACGCCCCGCAAGGGGAGUGGCAGACGGGUGAGUAACGCGUGGGAACAUACCCUUUCCUGCGGAAUAGCUCUGGGAAACUGGAAUUAAUACCGCAUACGCCCUACGGGGGAAAGAUUUAUCGGGGAAGGGUUGGCCCGCGUUGGAUUAGCUAGUUGGUGGGGUAAAGGCCCACCAAGGCGACGAUCCAUAACUGGUCUGAGAGGAUGAUCAGCCACAUUGGGACUGAGACACGGCCCAAACUCCUACGGGAGGCAGCAGUGGGGAAUAUUGGACAAUGGGCGAAAGCCUGUUCCAGCCAUGCCGCGUGAGUGAUGAAGGCCUUAGGGUUGUAAAGCUCUUUCACCGAUGAAGAUAAUGACGGUAGUCGGAGAAGAAGCCCCGGCUAACUUCGUGCCAGCAGCCGCCGUAACAC